rnacentral:tRNA from 1 species
GCGCGCGUAGCUCAGAUGGUUAGAGCGCUUGCAUGACACGCAAGAGGUCUCUGGUUCAAAUCCAGACGUGCGCA